CAGCCGCCGCGGUAAUACGUAGGUGGCAAGCGUUGUCCGGAAUUAUUGGGCGUAAAGGGCUCGCAGGCGGUUUCUUAAGUCUGAUGUGAAAGCCCCCGGCUCAACCGGGGAGGGUCAUUGGAAACUGGGAAACUUGAGUGCAGAAGAGGAGAGAGGAAUUCCACGUGUAGCGGUGAAAUGCGUAGAGAUGUGGAGGAACACCAGUGGCGAAGGCGACUCUCUGGUCUGUAACCGACGCUGAGGAGCGAAAGCGUGGGGAGCGAACAGGAUUAGAGACCCCCGUAGUCCCUGUCUCUUAUAC
rnacentral:rRNA from 1 species